GGUGAGUCUCCCAACCCACCCAGGACCCUCCACCGAGUCGGGACCAAUCCGCAUCCCGGGGGAAACGUGCGAUCCUGGAACGAUCGAAGCCCCCCAACAGAGCUCCUACUGCACCUCCUGCCCCGUGGGGCCUGCCUAGAGGGGCCCCUCCACUGCCUCGCACUCCUCUGAAACUCCCGCUAGCCGCUGCAUACUUACUGAUGAUGCUCGCUGGGCCGGCCGCUGCCUCUGCGCUCCCUUCCUGCAGGGACCCCCUGAAGGCCCCUUCCCCACUCUCUUCAAAGUCUGGGGACACUGGAAGACGCCCCCUGUUUGGGGCGGAGCCCAAACUGCGCAGGUUACUGACAUCCCGAAUGCACCACCCCCCAUCCCGAGGGCCGCGACCCCAACGUCCCUACCCAGCUGAGCCCCUUGCCAGCUCCAGGACCCCUCCUGCGCUCUCUCUCUCUCUCUCUCUCUCUCUCUCUCUCUCUCUCUCUCUCUCUGACUCUGUCUCUCUCUAUGUGUCUCUGUCUCUCUCUUUCCCUCCCUCCCUCCCUCCCUCCCUCUCACCCUCCCACCCUCCCUCUAAAAGGAGGCUCAGCGGAAGCCCCGAGUUAUAAUUAGCCCCACUCGGGUUUCCUGGUUAAUCUCCAACAACGCCACUAUCCCCAGAUCCAGGCGACCAGAACUGGCUGGGUGAUGGGUGAACACCCGGAGGGGGUAGUUCCGACCCGGGGAAUUUUGAUCUCUUGGCUGGAGACGCCGGAACUACAGCAGCUGUUGCCCCCAAAAUAGCGCCCCUGCCUUUGCUACGGGGAUCUCCGGAGCUCCCGGAACACAGACGUCCUGGCUCGCCCUUCAACCCCCUCUGCGAUGCUCACGAUUCUCCAGAUACCCCCACACCAAGGCUCGGGCGGGGAGCUCUGGCCUCUUCUUGGUCUCUACUGCUCCCGGUUGGCAGUGGAGGGCAUUGCAAUAUGGGGAUGCAAUAGGGGCUUGAGUUCUGGUGAGCCCCACAAGGGGCGAGUGAGACAGUUGGCUGGAGUCAGGCGAGAGGGGUGCGGUUGAUGUAAAGCAAACGGGUACCAACCGGCCGUACCAGAAAGAAGAGAGGCGGAGCAGGGUGGGGCAAGGUGUCGACUGGACAAGAUUCCAAGAUGCCUUCAGAACCUGGGACUCCCGAUACCUUGAAUGCCCAACCCACUCCCCAGAAGGCUUUGGCUAACCCAGGAGAGGCUUGGGCUGUGCUUUCUUAUAACUUGCAAGCUCCCGAAGGGGCCACACCCGUCCGUCCAUGAGGGUCCCCUGCACCUGUCCUGGGGCCUAUACAAAGCCUUUCCAACCCUGUGCUGUAUACUAGGGGUCUUAGCUCAAGCUGCAGGGGAAAGAGGUAUGGAGGCCCUUGGAACUUGCUGGGCAAGGGAGACUAUGUAUUAGCCAGGCUUAUCUCAGUUGGCUGCAUUUGUUGCGGUAUGGGUGUGUGUAUGUCUGAUCUUGUGUUUGUCUGCCUGUGUCGCGUCUCCUAGCUUGACUCCAUUUCUCCCCUCCCCUUACCAAUCUGCCACACCUCCUCUGCAACUCCUUGAUAAGCCCUGGGCAAGACUGUUUCUUAAUCUCCCACUGAGCUGCUGUCUUCACCCUUUGCCUUUCUUUCUCCCAGCAGACACCAGCCUGUCCUGGCAGUCAUGAGGCCUCCCUGGUAUCCCCUGCAUACACCUUCCCUGGCUUUUCCACUCCUCUUCCUCCUCCUCUCCCUCCUGGGAGGAGGGGCAAGGGCUGAGGGCCGGGAAGACCCGCAGCUGCUGGUGAGGGUUCGAGGGGGCCAGCUGAGGGGCAUCCGCCUGAAGGCCCCUGGAGGCCCAGUCUCAGCUUUUCUGGGCAUCCCCUUUGCAGAGCCACCUGUGGGCUCACGUAGAUUUAUGCCACCAGAGCCCAAGCGGCCCUGGUCAGGAGUGUUGGAUGCUACCACCUUCCAAAAUGUCUGCUACCAGUACGUGGACACCCUGUACCCUGGGUUUGAGGGUACUGAGAUGUGGAACCCCAACCGAGAGUUGAGUGAAGACUGCCUGUAUCUUAAUGUGUGGACACCAUACCCCAGACCUGCUUCUCCCACACCUGUCCUCAUCUGGAUCUAUGGGGGUGGUUUCUACAGCGGAGCGGCCUCCUUGGAUGUGUAUGACGGCCGUUUCCUGGCCCAGGUUGAGGGAGCUGUGUUGGUAUCUAUGAACUACCGAGUGGGAACCUUUGGCUUCUUGGCCCUACCAGGAAGCAGAGAAGCCCCUGGCAAUGUAGGUCUGCUGGAUCAACGGCUUGCCUUGCAAUGGGUGCAAGAAAAUAUUGCAGCCUUUGGGGGCGACCCGAUGUCAGUGACUCUGUUUGGGGAGAGUGCGGGUGCAGCCUCCGUGGGCAUGCACAUACUGUCCCUGCCCAGCAGGAGCCUCUUCCACAGGGCUGUCCUCCAGAGUGGCACACCCAAUGGGCCCUGGGCCACUGUGAGUGCUGGAGAGGCCAGGCGCAGGGCCACACUGCUGGCCCGCCUUGUGGGCUGUCCCCCAGGUGGCGCUGGUGGCAAUGACACCGAGCUGAUAGCCUGCUUGAGGACAAGGCCCGCUCAGGACCUGGUGGACCACGAGUGGCACGUCCUGCCUCAAGAAAGUAUCUUCCGAUUUUCCUUCGUGCCUGUGGUAGACGGGGACUUCCUCAGUGACACACCGGAGGCUCUCAUCAAUACUGGAGAUUUUCAAGACCUGCAGUUCUGGCUUUGUAAUGGUUCGUCUCUCUGGCUAUUAGGUUGCUCAUCUGUCUCUGUGUGCCUCUCUAUCAUCUCUCCAUCCUUUCCCCCAUCUCCAACUAUCCUCAGGUGCUGGUGGGUGUGGUGAAGGACGAGGGCUCCUACUUUCUGGUUUACGGGGUCCCAGGCUUCAGCAAAGACAAUGAAUCUCUCAUCAGCCGGGCCCAGUUCCUGGCUGGGGUGCGGAUCGGUGUACCCCAAGCAAGUGACCUGGCAGCCGAGGCUGUGGUCCUGCAUUACACAGACUGGCUGCACCCUGAGGACCCUACUCACCUGAGAGAUGCCAUGAGUGCAGUGGUAGGCGACCACAACGUUGUGUGCCCUGUGGCCCAGCUGGCUGGGCGACUGGCUGCCCAAGGGGCCCGGGUCUAUGCCUACAUCUUUGAACACCGUGCCUCCACACUGACUUGGCCCCUCUGGAUGGGGGUGCCCCAUGGCUAUGAAAUCGAGUUCAUCUUUGGGCUCCCCCUGGAUCCCUCGCUGAACUACACCACGGAGGAGAGGAUCUUUGCUCAGCGACUUAUGAAAUACUGGACCAAUUUUGCCCGCACAGGGGACCCCAAUGACCCUCGAGACUCCAAAUCUCCACAGUGGCCACCGUACACCACUGCCGCGCAGCAAUAUGUGAGCCUGAACCUGAAGCCCUUAGAGGUGCGGCGGGGACUGCGCGCCCAGACCUGCGCCUUCUGGAAUCGCUUUCUCCCCAAAUUGCUCAGCGCCACCGGUAGGCGCAUGGAGUGGGGGGAGCAGGGAAUGCACAAGGCGGCAAGGGUUGGAAGGAGGGGAGAGAGAUGGGGUGCAAAACACAGGGUGUAAUCCCUCUCUUCUCCACCUCCCCAGCCACGGAGGCUCCUUGCACCUGCCCAAGCCCCGCCCAUGGGGAGGCGGCCCCGAGGCCCGGGCCGGACUUAGCCCUGUCCCUCCUCUUCUUCCUUUUCCUCCUCCACUCCGGGCUUCCGUGGCUCUAACUGCAAUCCUUUCCCCUUCUGGUCUCAAAGCACACUUACUCUAGUGUGUAGCUGAGAAGGGGCCCCUCUCAGGGAUACAGAACCCCACUCCAUUCUCAAGCCGAGACAAAAUGGACAGACUCAGGGAUCUUUGUUAAACAAAAAUUCAAAAAACAGGAUUUUUUUUUUUUUAAUGUAAAAAAUUAUCCUUUGGAGCUUGAGCCUGGUGUUGAGGGGAGAAGGAUCCGGGGCUAGUUGGCGUCAGCCAAAGGGCCUUAUAAUCGCCAACUAUUUCUGUAUCUUCUCUCUUUUCCCCACUAACCCAUGAACCCUUCUCCCACUCUGAUCCUGUCCCUCCCCUCCGUCUUCCGGUGAUUUUUAUCUCUUCCUCUCCUUCCUGUUCCACCUCUCCCUUCAUUCUCCGGAUCAUCCACUGUUCUCUUUCCACCACCCCGCUCGGCCUCCGACAAUGCGUGUGUGCCGGCGCACUCACGACCGGUCUCCACUACCCGACCUGUUCCGUUUCUCCCACUCUUGCGGGGUGCCCUGGCCGCAGAUACUCUGGACGAGGCGGAGCGCCAGUGGAAGGCCGAGUUCCACCGCUGGAGCUCCUACAUGGUGCACUGGAAGAACCAGUUCGACCACUAUAGCAAGCAGGAGCGCUGCUCAGACCUGUGACCCCUUGGGGGACCCCAGGUCCUGCCGCCCUGCCCGAGCCCCUAGCUGUAUAUACACUAUUUAUUUAAGGGCUGGGAUAUAAUACGACCGAGCCCCCAGGCCCUGUCCACUCCUCCCCGACUUCCUCCCACUAGGGGCUCCCCAUCUUCUGCAUGUCUUGGGCUAAGCUCCCCUCCCCGCGGUGCCUUCGCCCCUCUGGGCCGCCAAUAAACUGUUACAGCCACCAGA